ensembl:snRNA U1 U1 spliceosomal RNA
AUAUUUACCUAGCAGGGGAGAUACUAUGAUCACAAGGGUGGAUUUCCCCGGGUGAGGCUUACCUAUUGCACCCUGGGUGUGCUGACCCCUGCAGUUUUCCCAAAUGCGAGAAACUUGACUGCAUAAUUUGUGGUGAGAGGGUGACUAUGUUUGCUGCAGCUGCACCUG